AUUAUCCAGAAGGCUCCAAAUUACGGAAAAGCCAUCUCCCGUAGACUCCAUUAUAAUCAAACAAUUCAAAUGUUUAAAAUGUAUUUAAUUUUCUCUAAUAACACAACCUUGUACUUAAGCCAAUCUAAGAUAUAAUUAGUCUUUAUUGGGAGCAAAAUCAGAUUAUUGGGGUUAUGUUUAUAUGAUUUUCUAGUAGACUUUAAGUAUGAAGAUCCAAAUUUUGGAAAGAUCCGUUAUCCAGCAAACCCCAGGUCUCAAGAAUUCUGAAUAACAGGUCCCAUACCUGAAUGCAUGUGACAUCGGUGACCAAGCUCCUCCACCCGCACAAGCUAAAAAAAAAAAACAUUGGCUGUCAGGCUGACAGGUUCCAGAAGUGCUAGUGGUUACUUUGAAGAACUGCAGAGGAGCUGGUCACUUGAGAAAUAAGAGACAUCUAGUGGUGGUCAGCAACAGCAGCCUCAUCACAUUUACAGUAUCUGGACAGCCGGGUGUGCAGAGAGGCCAGUGCUGCGCAUUUACACUAUACAGACUGGCCCAACGGCAUUUUCCCAAAUUAACAGAUGGCCUGUCCAGGCCUGAUCUCAGGAGACUGACCUGUACUUGAUCCAACUGAUAUCGGCAACAUUGUACAUGGAGAUUGCCUGCUACCUUUAGUAGGCUAGAAAUCUUUCUUUCUAGCCUACUUGGCCCAUAGGAAACAAUGAAAACUGCUGUUAGUCUAAUCCCUGUGUCAUAGAAGUAAUGUUGACAUUAAUGGGUUAACAUUGGCCUUGUGACUUUUGUAUAGUCCACUAAAACAGUUAGUGGGGGAAUGCAAAUAGAAUCCCACCUUUCCAUUUGGGCUUUUAUAGAUAGUCAUGUGCUGCCCUACUGUGAUCUGGUUGAAUGGCCUGUAUUUAGGACUGUGCCUUAGGCUUCCAGCUCAUUUGGUGUUUUUUUUUCCAAUAUGUUACACUUAUUUUAGGUACAUUACCCUAUCUGUUAACUAUAACAUGUUUGCUUCACUAGCAGCAGACCAAGAUGAUCAGCAACCUGAUCAUCUUGCAGUAUGGCCACUUUUACUUUUAAGCACGGUGGAAAGGCUUCAUAUCUUCUCAUAAACCUAGAAUUGCCUAUUCUAGGUUUAUGGGAAGAUGUGUAGCCUUUCUACCCUGCUUAAAAGUAAAAGUGGCCGUACUGUGGACCUUGGCCAACCUGGCAUUUUGGGAACUGUAGUUCAGCAGCUUGAAGACCAACUUGCCCUUCUGUGUGUUUUCUAUGACAUUGCUUGACAAACAUGGUGACAUCAUUUGUUAUUGCAUUAUUUAUAUACUGUCUUAGCCAAAGUGGCACUGUAGUGUUGUGAGUUUUUGCCACAAAUUGAUGGUGAACCCUAUGUAUACAUUGGGUUUAAUUGCCCAUUCCCUAGUUUGUACUUAAUAGGGGUAAAAUAUAACCCUACUUUUGGAAUGUUCCUUCCACUACAAACUGUUCCUAUUUGAAAUUAACUGUUAACUGCAUCAAGUUGCCUAUUAUGGGUUAUCAUUGAGCCACAUCUAGGGUGUUUGUAAGACUAGUGUAUCAUGUCCUGCUGCAUUGUGCUGUAAACUCCACUAACCCCGAAAACUACAGAAGUUCUGAAAAGGCUCCAAGGGAUGAAUUAGUUUCUCCAUCAGUGUGGAUCAUUAAAACAGUCACCAGCUGUACUGAAAGAUACAAAUUCAUGCAGUGUAGGCAAUUAUCAGGAUCUACCUGCUGACGUGUCUUCUGCUAUCUAAGGAUUCUAGUACCUAUCGUACUUCCAGCAGAGACUGGUCCUUUAGGGAGAGGGACAGCUUUGAGCCUUCCUGGAAGACCACAUCUUCAUCUUAUCAGCGCUGCUCAGGAACAUAUGAGCGGCCCCUGACUGGGGUCCUAGCAUCAAGCAGGAGCCGUCUUUCGGCAACAUCUUCACCGUCUCAGUCAACGUACAACCCAUUGGAGAGGGCUCAGGGCACUUAUACUGGAUUGCACAGCCAGCAGCAGGAUCUGGACUCAAAGAGACCAAAACUAUCAUAUUCUGCUUAUUCCUCUUAUUCUACUCUUUCUGGUAUUCGAAGCACAAGUAGUAGUUUAAGUUCCACUUCAGAUUCAACCAGCAGGUAUGGAAGGUUUCCAAGGACUUCCCCUAUGAUGCUAGGUUCCAGCAGAUCUGAAUUUGUCAGAGAACGAGAAAGGAGGACUGAUUCAACCAUCCACAGUCUUAUGGAUUAUAGUCAUAGAAAUGGGGACACAACACCCUCAUAUCUUCAAGACAGAGUUUCUUCAUAUGCACAAGGAGCAAGGCCAAAAGAUACUUCUUUAAGCACAUCUCGACCUAACACUUCUAUUAGCCACCAGCUGCCUUCUCAACAUAGCUCCUCGCUCUACAGCAGGGACUCAACCAGGAAUCUGAGACCAGUGACUUCUAGAGACCUGCGUUCAUCACACGAUACACCAAUUGAGACCCAGCAUGUCACAAGUAGGAGGGAAACCGCUUCUAGAUCUUCAGGAAGACUUUCGCCUGUUCGACAAAGAUCUAAUGAGCAGCCUACAGAUACAGAGAGCAGACGCUCAACAAGGCAUUUACUGUCUCGUAUUGCUUCUAGCAUGUCUUCUACCUUCUUUUCAAGAAGAUCCAGCCAAGACUCAUUAAAUGGACGAUCACCAGAUACCGAGGAAUCGCCAUCUAGUUUACAUAAUCCAUCUCAUCAAUGCAGUGUUUCUACACCACCACCCAGCACAGAUACAUCUGAGAACAGGUCUUCUGAACAAUCUCAGGGAUUUGCCUUUCUCAGACGGCGACGCUGGGGUUUGUCCUCUGUCUCUCCCAGUCAGAGUUCAGACUCUGAUGCAGAGAGUAACAGAUCAGAAGAUUCAGAAACAAGGUCUUCUGCAUCAUGGCUACCUUCUUCCCUCAGAAACAGAUGUACACCUCUCUUUUCCAGGAGAAGGCGCGAAGGAAGAGAUGAAACUGCCAGAGCAUCAUCUACCUCUGACACCAACAGGAUACAUUAUCCCUUCAGGAGGAGCUCUCCAGAAACAGGAUCUGUGGAUGAAGGUCAUGGAGCCACAGCGUCCUCUGCAGAUUCCAGUACUGACUCUUCUAGUGGUGCAUCCCUGGCAGAUUCCCUCUUUAGCAGGAGAAAUUCUGGCAUUUCAGGAAUGCUUCCUGGCUCAUUUCUACAUUUUUCUGUGCCUGGUGCAUUGAACAGCUCCCUGUCGGACAAUGUCAUGAUAAGCGUAGAUGUUAGGACCAAUGAUGCACAAGAAAGUGAAAAGUCUCAAACAUCCUCAAGAGAUCCAGAGAAAAUAAAGCAAAUUCAAGAAAGCCUUCUACAAGAGGAUUCUGAGGAAGAGGAUGGUGAUCUAUGCAGAAUAUGCCAGACUGGAAUGACAACACCUUUGAAUCCAUUCAUAGAGCCAUGCAAAUGUUCUGGAAGUCUUCAGUAUGUUCAUCAGGACUGUAUGAAGAAAUGGCUGAAUGCAAAAAUUAAUUCUGGCUCUACUCUAGAAGGUAUAACUACAUGUGAAUUGUGUAAAGAGAAACUGGAUCUGAACUUGGAAGAUUUUGACAUCCUGGAACUUUAUCGUGCUCAUGCCAGCGAGAGGGCUGAAUAUGAAUUUAUCAGCUCUGGUCUGUACCUGGUUGUCUUACUCCAUUUGUGUGAGCAGAGGUUUUCUGACAUGUUGGGAGCAGCUAAUGAAGCAAGCACUAGGGUUAGAUUUAUAAAUCUUGCCCAAACUCUCCAAGCGCAUAUGGAUGACCUUGAAACUUCAGAGGAGGAAGAUUCAGAAGAUGAAAGGGUAUGACUGACUUCUAACCUGUCAACUUGGCUUGCGGCUUGAAUCCACCAAAGCAACGGCAAUUAAAGAUGAUAGAAAUGCAGACAUAUUGUGCAUUUUUGCUUUGUAUUAAUAUUCAGCUGCUUCAUGAUAGUUAUCACUUGUAUUUGGCCCGUUAAUCACUUGUCACCUUGGCAAUGUUUAAAAAAAAAAAAAAAAAAAAGUGCAAACUCCCACUCUUGUAUGCGUUGGCUGCAGGGAUUGAGAACCUUAAGCUCUCCAGGUAUUGCAGAACUUGCAACUUGCAUCUUUCUCUACAGCUGGGGCUCCAAAGGUUGCCUUUCCUUGUUUGCACGAACCAUUUUUGGUCUCUUGUGUUUAUAUUUCUGUGUUUUUUUGGAACAUUCAUGCCUCUACCCCCGUUUGUUUAACCAGGCCCUGGAGCUUUGUUUUUCAAUAUUCUUUUCUAUGUGUGUCUUUCUACAUGUAGCCAGCCUUGCCUAUCCUCUUGCUAUUAUCAAUUCUGGAAAGCAUUGUUACCAUAACUAAACAGGCCUAGACUAUUUUUUGUGGAUUUGGGGAUAUAUAUGCAGAAAAUAUGGUGGUUAUUAUUGUUUUCCUUAUCUUUAAAGAAAAAAUAACCAAGCCUUAAGUUGCAGGCUCCUAUUUUAUAAUAUAUAAGAAUAACAUGCCUCCAGUGUUAAUUGUUUACUAUGAAGGGGUUUUUGUACAGUUAAUUCCGUAUCCAAGACUUUUUAUUGAUUCGACCUGUAAUUCAUAAAAAGCCACAUAAAUAGGAGGGCAUUUCUUGAUACUAGAUUUAUUUUGUGUUGGGCUAAUAUUUGUGUACCACACUUUUACAGUAGGAAGAGUAAAAACUGUAGCUUGGAUGUCACUUCUAACCAUCUGUCAUUGCAGACAUUUUAGAACCUGUACAGUCACUUUCAACACUGACCUAUUGAUGUUUUAGUUGUAAAAUGGAAAUAAAGUAAAUGUAAGCAA